rnacentral:rRNA from 1 species
AACGCGAAGAACCUUACCUGGGCUCGAACGGCUUAAGACAAUCUUUGGAAACAGAGACUUCUCGCAAGAGACUUGAGUCGAGGUGCUGCAUGGCUGUCGUCAGCUCGUGUCGUGAGAUGUUGGGUUAAGUCCCGCAACGAGCGCAACCCUUGUCCUGUUGCCACUCAAACGAGAGUUUGAAGCACUCUGGACAGACUGCCUCAUCUAAAUGAGGAGGAAGGUGGGGAUGACGUCAAGUCAGUAUGGCCCUUACGGCCAGGGCUGCACACGUACUACAAUGCCCGGUACAAAGGGAAGCAAGACCGUCAGGUGGAGCAAAUCCCCAAAAACCGGGCCCAGUUCAGAUUGUCGUCUGCAACUCGACGGCAUGAAGCCGGAAUCGCUAGUAAUGGCACAUCAGCUACGGUGCCGUGAAUACGUUCCCGGGCCUUGUACACACCGAGUAUA